ensembl:lincRNA
CCCAGAGCAGGAUAGAUCCCAGACCAGGAAGAGAAGGAAACAAAGAAUUUCCGCCCACUAAUGGCUGGCCCCAAACACUUCUUUUUUCCAUGGUUGGGAUUGGUUUGGCAGAUCUCGUCUCUUCCUCUGUGCAUGCAGUGGGCACACAUGAAGAACGUGGCCUCCACAAAUGCCCUGUCGCCCAGAACCAGAGCCACUGAGCCCUUUGAGGGAUGCAUAAGAACUGUGUUCAUCUUUGAAAAUGGUCCCCCCUCCAAAUCCUACUGUCUGACCUCCUGCCCAAAGCUCUCAGACUGCCCCCCUCCCAGAACAGAGCAGAGCAGAGCAGGCCUAGGGAUGUCCUGACUUGGACUGACUCCAAGAUGUCACCAGUGGACCAAAGCUUUCCCAGUUAACCUUGGCCUUGGAGGGUGAGAGGUCACAGAAAUAAGCGAGACCAGGAGUCAGACAACCUAGGUCCAAAUCCCCCUCUGCUUCAUGCCUGACUGAGGGUGUUGGAGAAGUCCCUUUACCUCUCCUGGCCUCAUUAUCCCUCAUCAGGGAACUGGAGCUAAUUGCUGAUUUGUGCUUGAAAUUAAAGAAAGGGAGGUUACCACAGAAACUGGCGCUAAGGUGGCGUUUUGCUGAAUUUAUGGAUCGGCUAAUUUAUGGACCACAGACUGUCUGCUCUACCCAGGCCCUUUCUACUUAGGGGGAAACUGAGGCUGGGAGAAGGGAGGCAACCUGCCAAGAGUUGGUGGCGAGUGGCAGCAAUGCCCAGACUUGAAUUCCAGCCCAAUGUUUAAGUUCCUCAGUGCAGGCUAUCAAAGACAGCCAAUUCCAGAAGGGAGAUCAAAGGCCUGCUUCCUUAUUUACAAAGAGAAGUCCUAAUUAAAACAUGGCCAACGGCUGAGGCGGCUAUGGAGAUGGGCCACGUGUGCGCCAACAGAGAAUUCACCAUCCCAGACUGCGCUGAGCAGCAAGGGAGCCGUUCAGUGAGUCUGUGCUAGGGAGAGCCAGCCCGAGGGUGGGGUUAGUCAG